GGAUCAGGUUGCCAUUUCCUUCUCCAAUGCAUGAAAGUGAAAAGUGAAAGUGAAGUUGCUCAGUCGUGUCUGACUCUUAGUGACCCCAUGGACUGCAGCCUACCAGGCUCCUCCGUCCAUGGGAUUUUCCAGGCAAGAGUACUGGAGUGGGGUGCCACUGCCUUCUCCAACAGACAAGAAUGCUGAGGGCUCACCUGGGGGCCGAGGAGCUGGCGGAGACGGAGCCUGGCUGCCCAGAAGACGGCGGGGCCGGGCCCCAGCCUGAGACAGUGGCCGGGCGCUCUCCAGAGGAUGGUGGGGCUGAGGCCAUGCUGCGGCUGCAGCAGGAGGUCUCGGGGCUCCGAGAGGAGUUCAGGAAGCAGGAGGCCCGCUGGGCGGCCACCCACCGUGAGCUCCGGGCCCAGAUGGAUGCGUUGGUGAAGCAGAACCUGGAGCUGCGGGCUGGGCUAAGGGCUUCGGAGCGGCGGCGCCUGGAGGCCAAGCGGAGUGCGGCGGGCUCGGUGCACGUGAGAAGACGAUCAGAGGCUCGGGUACCGGGGCCUCUGUUUGCCAGCCCAGAGCACCACCCGCAGAGCCGCGUGCUUGGCGCUGGGUGACCGUGGCACUUCCCGUGCAGGAGGCGGGAGGGCUUGCCUCCUCUGGUCAGCUCCACACACCACGAGCAACCAGUUACAGUCGGGAGUGGCCAGGGCGUUCAUGGGGGCCCCGUGCAUCUGUCUGCAAAGACAUCUGCUAACACCAAGCAAAAGCACGUUGGGUGCUGCCCGGGUUUAUGGGGGGCGAUCUGUGCUUGCUUUCUGCCCCCAUUGACCCCUGUCACGACCCCUGAGGUGGGUGCGUCUAACCCCAGCGUUAGUCACGUGGCUGGGAGCCAGAGUCCAGACUCGGACCAGCUCGCUGACCCCAGAAGCAGCCUACGGGCCCCAGGGCUCUGUCCAGCACUGGGACCACUCAAUGGAGAGUUGGGAAAGAGCUCACCCUGCUUCCCUGCACACAGCACCCGGCUUCCAAGUGUGGGUGGCCGGGCCGAGCGCAGGCUGCGGAGUUGGUGGGGUGGCCGGGGCUCUGUCGCUGUGUUGGCAUGUUCCCCCAUUUGCAUCUAAAGAACUGGGCCAUUCGAGCUGCGUGUGCAGGAGUCAGCAGGAAACCACGCAAACACCCUCGAAAUGUAACUGGGGGUUUCCUCUAGCGGAUCAAGGGAAGCGCUAACACUUCUUGUCUGCACUCACUGUGUGAGCUUCUGAGUCUGUAGUUCAAGGACUUGAAACUGAAAAAUGAAAGCCACUCAGUCGUGUCCGACUCUGUGUGACCCCAUGGACUAUACAGUCCAUGGGAUUCUCCAGGCCAGAACACUGGAGUGGGCAGCCUUUCCCUUCUCCAGGGGAUCUUCCCAACCCAGGAAUCAAACCCAGGUCUCCCACAUUGCAGGUGGAUUCUUUACCAGCUGAGCCCCCAGGGAAGCCCAAGGACUUAGGGUAUCUCUGAUAUGACGGAUGGGCCUCCCUCUCUCAUCUCUCUCUCUGAUUUUGAGCUCUUGUGCUUGGCGGGCUUCCAAACAUCCCUUAGGUCUGUACACAGUCCCCAUCACAGGGUCAU
rnacentral:lncRNA from 1 species